UACGUAGGUGCCCAGCGUUGUCCGGAUUUACUGGGCGUAAAGAGCGCGCAGGCGGUCGUUCAAGUCGAGUGUGAAAGCCCCCGGCUCAACUGGGGAGGGUCAUUCGAUACUGAUCGACUUGAAGGCAGGAGAGGGAAGCGGAAUUCCCGGUGUAGUGGUGAAAUGCGCAGAUAUCAGGAGGAACACCGGUGGCGAAGGCGGGUCUCUGGGCCGAUACUGACGCUGAGGAGCGAAAGCGUGGGGAGCGAACAGG
rnacentral:rRNA from 1 species